CACGUAGGGGCCAAGCGUUGUCCGGAUUUAUUGGCGUAAAGAAGCUCGUAGGCGGUUCGACAAGUCGGGUGUGAAAACUCCGGGCUACAACCCGGGAGACCGCCACCCGAUACUGUCGUGACUGGAGUCCGGUAGGGGAGUGGGGAAUUCCUGGUGUAGCGGUGAAAUGCGCAGAUAUCAGGAGGAACACCGGUGGCGAAGGCGCCACUCUGGGCCGGUACUGACGCUGAGGUGCGAAAGCGUGGGGAGCAAACAGG
rnacentral:rRNA from 1 species